rnacentral:rRNA from 1 species
UACGUAGGGUGCAAGCGUUAAUCGGAAUUACUGGGCGUAAAGCGUGCGCAGGCGGUUUUGUAAGUCAGAUGUGAAAUCCCCGGGCUUAACCUGGGAACUGCGUUUGAAACUACAAGGCUAGAGUGUGGCAGAGGGGGGUGGAAUUCCACGUGUAGCAGUGAAAUGCGUAGAGAUGUGGAGGAACACCGAUGGCGAAGGCAGCCCCCUGGGUCAAGACUGACGCUCAUGCACGAAAGCGUGGGGAGCGAACAGG